UACCAGCUCUCCGAGUGGUAGGGAUGAUUAUUGGGCUUAAAGCGUCCGUAGCCGGCUUAGCAAGUUUCCUGUUAAAUUCAGCGACCUAAUCGUUGAGCCGCGGGAAAUACUACUAGGCUAGGAGGCGGGAGAAGUCGACGGUACUUCUGGGGUAGGGGUGAAAUCCUAUAAUCCCGGGAGGACCACCAGUGGCGAAGGCUGUCGACUAGAACGCGCUCGACGGUGAGGGACGAAAGCUGGGGGGAGCGAACCGGAUUAGAUACCCGGGUAGUCCCAGCUGUAAACGAUGCGGGCUAGGUGUUGGGGUGGCUACGUGCCACUUCAGUGCCGCAGGGAAGCCAUUAAGCCCGCCGCCUGGGGAGUACGGCCGCAAGGCUGAAACUUAAAGGAAUUGGCGGGGAGCACCACAAGGCGUGAAGCUUGCGGUUC
rnacentral:rRNA from 1 species